rnacentral:lncRNA from 13 species
AAAGGAAGAUGCCUUUGUAGUGAGUCAUAAAAGAUGAACAGUUUUUCUAUGAGAAUAAUGUUCCAGCUGGAUUAACUUGAAUAAAGGCACAAAAUGUGAGGUGUGCCUGGAAGAUUAUGGGUCACUUUUGGUGACUACAGUGUAAGAUUUCUGGUAUCAAGUAAAGUCAAUUCAACUUGUAAAAGUGUGAGAGAAUUCUGGAAAGAAAGCAGACCAACCAUACAGAGCAACUAGCAAAAUGAAGACAUGGACAAUAUCUACAGGGAAAAAAAAGAAUUGACAAUAUAUCCUCAUAAUUACCAAAAUGCAUCAGAGGUCCACCUCUACUCACUCAAAAUGCAGCCUUAAUUGACAAGGACUUCGGACUUUGUAACCGACCUUCGUCAGUCUCCUGACUCUGCAUCCUACAACCCCCUCCCAGCUUGCAAAAAUCACCCUAAAAUGUAACUUCUGUAGCUUUCCACUGUUUACCUCAAACCUGUAAAACCAACUCCUAUUCCUCCACCCUCUGCUGACUCUCUUUUCAGACUUAGCCCACCGGCACCCGGGGGAAUAAAUAGCCAUGUUGCUCACA